rnacentral:rRNA from 1 species
GACGAACGCUGGCGGCGUGCUUAACACAUGCAAGUCGAACGGAAAGGCCCUGCUUUUGUGGGGUGCUCGAGUGGCGAACGGGUGAGUAACACGUGAGUAACCUGCCCUUGACUUUGGGAUAACUUCAGGAAACUGGGGCUAAUACCGGAUAGGAGCUCCUGCUGCAUGGUGGGGGUUGGAAAGUUUCGGCGGUUGGGGAUGGACUCGCGGCUUAUCAGCUUGUUGGUGGGGUAGUGGCUUACCAAGGCUUUGACGGGUAGCCGGCCUGAGAGGGUGACCGGCCACAUUGGGCCUGAGGUACGGCCCAGACUCCUACGGGAGGCAGCGGUGGGGAAUAUUGCACAAUGGGCGGGAGCCUGAUGCAGCGACGCCGCGUGCGGGAUGACGGCCUUCGGGUUGUAAACCGCUUUCGCCUGUGACGAAGCGUGAGUGACGGUAAUGGGUAAAGAAGCACCGGCUAACUACGUG